UCUUAUAGAUGAGCCAAGAAAGUGGUUUCUUGAUAUGGAAUCUAUUCCUUGGGAAGAUACUGUGAA
rnacentral:pre_miRNA from 1 species